CCUAACACAUGCAAGUCGAACGCAGUAGCAAUACUGAGUGGCAGACGGGUGAGUAAUAUGUGGGAAUCUGCCUUUUGGUUUGGAAUAACACGGGGAAACUUGUGCUAAUACCGAAUAAGCCCUUACGGGGAAAGUUUUAACGCCGAAAGAUGAGCCCGCACUUGAUUAGCUAGUUGGUAAGGUAAAAGCUUACCAAGGCAACGAUCAAUAGCUGUUCUUAGAGGAAGACCAGCCACAUUGGGACUGAGACACGGCCCAGACUCCUACGGGAGGCAGCAGUGGGGAAUCUUGCACAAUGGGGGAAACCCUGAUGCAGCGAUGCCGCGUGAGUGAAGAAGGCCUUUGGGUUGUAAAACUCUUUCGUCGGGGAAGAAAAUGACUGUACCCGAAUAAGAAGGUCCGGCUAACUUCGUGCCAGCAGCCGCGGUAAUACGAAGGGACCUAGCGUAGUUCGGAAUUACUGGGCUUAAAGGGCUCGUAGGUGGUUAAAAAAGUUGAUGGUGAAAUCCCAAGGCUUAACCUUGGAACUGCCAUCAAAACCUUUUAGCUAGAGUGUGAUAGAGGUAAGUGGAAUUUCUAGUGUAGAGGUGAAAUUCGUAGAUAUUAGAAAGAACAUCAAAUGCGAAGGCAACUUACUGGGUCACUACUGACACUGAGGAGCGAAA
rnacentral:rRNA from 1 species